UACGUAGGGUGCAAGCGUUAAUCGGAAUUACUGGGCGUAAAGCGUGCGCAGGCGGUUUUGUAAGUCUGACGUGAAAUCCCCGGGCUCAACCUGGGAAUUGCGUUGGAGACUGCAAGGCUAGAAUCUGGCAGAGGGGGGUAGAAUUCCACGUGUAGCAGUGAAAUGCGUAGAGAUGUGGAGGAACACCGAUGGCGAAGGCAGCCCCCUGGGCUAACACUGACGCUCAGGCACGAAAGCGUGGGGAGCAAACAGG
rnacentral:rRNA from 1 species